AUCGAGUGCCUCACCGUAAAGGUUCGGCUGCAAAUUUCCAGCAGCAGGUAUCACCGGCGGGGAGCCUCGGCAGUUGUUUUCCGGUCGUGAAUCAGUAGGUAACAGAUAGAUGAGUCAUGGAUGCUUGGAGAGAUGCCGGCUGCCAAUCCUGGGUCCCGCGUCAUAUUUGAAAAUUGAUUUUGGUUCUGUUUCUCUUUACUUGCAUUUCGUAUUCGUUGGAUUGGGUGUUGUGAGAACUAGGUUUUGAUACUUGUGGUGUGGACUUGGUAUUUGUGAUGUUUUGAUAAUUUUGCAAUUUGUGGGUUUUCUCUU